GACGAACGCUGGCGGCGUGCUUAACACAUGCAAGUCGAACGGAAAGGCCUGCUUUCCCUUGUGGAUUGCGGGUACUCGAGUGGCGAACGGGUGAGUAACACGUGAGUGAUCUGCCCCCAACUUGGGUAUAAGCCUGGGAGACUGGGUCUAAUUCCCGAUAGGACUGCAGGGUGGUGCCUGUGGUGGAAAACGAUUUUCUAGUGGUUGGGGAUGAGCUCGCGGCCUAUCAGCUUGUUGGUGGGGUAAUGGCCUACCAAGGCGGCGACGGGUAGCCGGCCUGAGGGGGUGGACGGCCACAUUGGGACUGAGAUACGGCCCAGACUCCUACGGGAGGCAGCAGUGGGGAAUAUUGCACAAUGGGCGGAAGCCUGAUGCAGCGACGCCGCGUGGGGGAUGACGGCCUUCGGGUUGUAAACUCCUUUCGACCGCGAGGAAGCCACCUGGUUGGAAGGGUGGCGACGGUAGUGGUAGAAGAAGCACCGGCUAACUACGU
rnacentral:rRNA from 1 species